AUCUACUCAAACUUCAGCUAGAUAGAUUGCACUUCUACUUCUCUACUUCUAUCUUUCAACUUUUGUAUUGGCUACUCUUUUAAAAUACUACCCGUCUGGAGAUCUAACUAGCUUCUUUUCUGUCUUUUAGAUACGAAAGCAUUUCAUUUCAUACCUGGUCAACGUAGAGCUGUUAAACUUGUUUACAACGGAUACGACUUUUGUAAAUUGUUAACCAAUUCAAGAGGCACGAAGUGGGUGUGCGCUAAAAAGACAUCCAAGAAGUGUAAAGCACGCAUUCGCCUAAGAGAAAAUCACCAAGUUGAAGUUUUAUAUGGAAAGCAUAAUCAUGGACUGAGUAAAAAAACGUGAAGAGGCAAAGAGUAAAGCAUAAGCUAAUCUAAGUAGAAGCCUUCGAAAAUUGAUAAUAAAACUGUGAAAAUCAAUGAAAUCACGAAGUUUUGCAUUCGAAUUUGAAGCCUCCUUAAAUGAUAAGUUAAAGGUGUUAGAAAUGUAAAGAUCCUAUGGAUGAUUGUCUGACUCCUAUAAUGGCUGAUCCAACAAAAUUUCACUAUAUGGAACUAAUCCCACCUACAAAUAAAAACAGACGGCCCCGAAGGAAAUGCCGACUUUGUUACAGAAAUAAGAGGCGACGAGAAACAGCCUACAUUUGCGCUGCCUGCCCAGAUAAACCAUCUUUAUGUGUGCGGAAUUGCUUUCGACUAUAUCAUGAAGAGAUCUUCCGAAAAGGUGGUUUUCUUAGGCAUUCCAAGAACAAAUCACAGAAAUACGGAUAGAACGGAAUUUAGAUUUGAUGUAAAGCCAGAUUUGUUUUUAUUGUUAUUAUAUGUGACUACGAA
rnacentral:misc_RNA from 1 species